GACUGUCCCCAGGCCCUGUAAUGACCCACACUGAGGAUUGAACCCAGAGCUUCUCACAUGCCAGGUAACCACACUAUAAGACUCUCAGCCCCACCGUCUGCCACUUCAAUUACCUGAAAGGCAAGGACAACACUUAACACUGAGCACCACUCCUCUGCUACUACUUGCAAGCACUAAGCUGACCUGCCCUCAGAAAAAAUGGGGGAAAACCCGUUUCUCAUUGUGAUCUGUAAUGGCUGCCUAGAAGAGCAAGCCACUGUGAUGUCAGUUUCAAUACUUUCCCAAGACAAAGAUGGUGAAAGAAUGGAAUACAAACAUGGAGAGAGACUUAGGUGGAGUUUCCACAGGCAGACAAUAU
rnacentral:lncRNA from 1 species